GCACAAUUAGGAAUUCCAGAAAGAAAAACCUUCCAUACAUGAGACAAAACUCUUGAAAAGUUUGGAAAAUGCUGUGAAUCCCUUACACUACAGCAAUGAUGGCCCAUCUGCUGGGAGAAAUAUGCUGAUAUAAACAGUGCAGUUUUUCUUAUGUCGUGGUGGUUAUACAAUUGAUGCUAACACAACCAAUUAGAAGCUGUCUCUGAGCAAACAACACAGAGAGAAGACUGGAACUAUGACCAUUUACCAACCUACUCCCCACAUAGACAGUAUGAGGAAUUACCUACAAAGGAAACCGGAGCCUCCACGGCAUCUCUCUGUCAUCCCUCUCUCCAGAUGGUGCCUCUAAAUCCCUUCUGAAGGCGAUUGUGCAAACCAGCAUCACAACAAGAAAUGUUCACAGCUUCAACCAGUGGAAAUUAAUACCAGCGACAGAAAUCCUAUCACUGGAGCCAUGGAGGAAGACACACACUCCAGGUUGAAGCAGCCGUUGAUGCUACACGGAAAGACAAGCCAAGGAGACCUUGCUCAGGUUUCCUUAUAUUCCAAAAAAAUAGGACACCAUCUUGGAGUAAUUUGAAUAAUAAUUUGAAGUUUAUCUUCCCCUGAUACCUUCAAGCCUGAAAGCUUCCUGAGCACCUCUGCUACACCCCCCAAGAAAAUUAUCUGCACAAAGCUAUCCAAACACAGUAUAUCUGUGAUUCCAUUUCCCUCUGAACUGUGGAGCAGGAUUCACACCACCAGGUAGGUGCCACUCUUUCUCCAGAAGCAAGCAAAGUUUGCUCUCCUGUCUGUUGAAGAAACUCAGGAGAUACAAUGUCUUCCUGAAGCACUUCAUUUCUGGUGCUGGAUUGAUGUUUCUGUCACCACAGAGGGCUUCCAGUGCUUGGGUAGGACCUUUUAUGUGACUGGCUCAUCUACCACUGAACCGUUUUGCUUCCCUCAUUCAGAUGUAGGCAGGACAAGCAAAUGGGCAGCACCUUACCAGGCUGUUGAAGACUGGGACAAUACUCAAGAAAUAGGGCUGUCUAAGAAAGUUAGUUUGCCUGAGCAUUAGCAAUUUGGAGGGAAAAUAUAAACAGUGUCUUGAUUCUGGAAAUAUUAAGAUAAAUUGCCAAAUUUGGGGUUUUUUUCUACCGAAAAAUAUGUGGGCAGAAACAUUUCUCAUAAUUCUAGGAGCCAAGAGUUUUUUUCCAUAUGAAAACAGAUAAAGUUUUCUAAGGAAUUGGUAGUACUAAUCUCUUGGUAGAAAAACACCCACUUACUAAGAACCACAGGCCAUCUCAGUCCACAGACCAGGA